rnacentral:rRNA from 1 species
CGGGUGAGUAACACGUGGAUAACCUACCUAUAAGACUGGGAUAACUUCGGGAAACCGGAGCUAAUACCGGAUAAUAUAUUGAACCGCAUGGUUCAAUAGUGAAAGACGGUUUUGCUGUCACUUAUAGAUGGAUCCGCGCUGCAUUAGCUAGUUGGUAAGGUAACGGCGUACCAAGGCAACGAUGCGUAGCCGACCUGAGAGGGUGAUCGGCCACACUGGAACUGAGACACGGUCCAGACUCCUACGGGAGGCAGCAGCU